rnacentral:lncRNA from 1 species
ACUAACCCAAGAAGAAGGGUAAAGAAGUCAUUUACACAAAGGGAAGGGAGGUGAGUUUAGCAAGCAAGGGGCUGCCUCAAGAAAUACAUAUGUUUCACACCAUCACUGCAUCUGAUACGUGAUUUGGUGGAAACGUUGUUGCACCUCCAUGCUUUUGCCUUGCAUCUUCCAGAAACAUGUCACGCAUCUCUCACCGCUGCCAGGUGGGAAGAUCUACAUCUCCUCAGCUGCCAUCUCCACCGUUCAUAGCAUAGGAUUGGCCUUAUAAAUAUAAAUGUAUCAGAUUAUGAUAUCACUUUUGGACAUUGAGAGAAAUGAUACGCUGAUGAAUUGUUUCCAGCCUUUUCUCCACCGAAAGUCAAUCAUCCUUGUGCUUAUUUCCAUUUCUCCUCUUCCGAGAGAAGGCCUUCUGAGCUAGUUCCAUUCCACCAAAGCACUUCAAUCCACUUCACUUUCCAUUAUACAAACUCCUUCCGCUUCACAUUGUCUUCCAACUUCCAUUUGCAUCUGUUGUUACUGUGUCAUCACUUGAAGCUCACGGAUAUGCAAAGAAUAGCACCAAUCAUGGAGCUAUCAUUUGGUAUUCAGAGCAAGGUUCAAGCUACUGCCGUGAGCUAAGUCUUUCUUUUAAUCCAUACUAUCAAACAUAUCGUUUCUCUGUUUUUGUUGCCUCCAUGUGUAUUGUUCCAUUGUUGUCCAUCUUUAGGAUUCUGUUUGCGUCAUUUUAUUAUGUGCCAACUUUAUUUUGAUUUCGUUUUUCCUCAUUUUAUUCGGUCAAUUCAGAUUUGAGUCUUUCAAUUUGGUAAUCCAUCCAGAUCUGUCAAGUCUUGUGCAUGCAUUACUUUUGCUUGUUUUAAAUUCUGUGUAAUCUGUGAGUGGUGUCUGCAUCAAGUGAACCUGAAUUGCAAAUACAUGUUGUUCAUCAUUAAAGAGCAUUGAAAUUCAAGUGAAUGAGCUCGGUGACAAUUGUGCAAUCAGAUCUGAAAAAUUAAUUCAGUUACUUUGAUUUUAAAUGACUCGUUGAAGUACUGUUUUAGUGGUUGACUUGGUUUUGAAAUGCUAUUGAUGAAUGAGUCAAGAUUAUUGUGCUAAACUAAACUAGAAUGAAUACCAUAUAAGCAUGAGAUUGCUUUUGCAAUUAGCUUGUUAGUUUAACUGGAAAGUUCAAGUUGCAUCUCCAUUGGCAGUAGACCGAACUGCAUAUCUUUGUGUUUUAUUUUUGAUGUUUCAAUUCUGGAUCGGUAGUAGGUCAUUGCUGGACAUCUUAUUCACUAAUUCCAAUACUUUCUUCAAGUUUUAAAUGAUGAAUAUGGAUGCAAAUGUUAAUCCAAAGGUCAUUUGAUUCGUUGUAGCAAAUUCUGAUUGGCGGAGUUGUGAAAAUUAAUCCAAUUCUGCUGCAUAAUCGGGUUCAAACAGUCCAAUUCUGCACUGAUUGAAUUUUGCUUCAAAAGUCAGUUUCAACAAGUUUAUUCUGACCAUUAAAACUUGGUUAUGCAAAGAAAUUGUGCUUGUAAUAAUUCUGCAUGAAUUUCACUGUCUAAACCACCAGAAUUAGCUUUCUUUGUUGAGUGCAAGCUGCAUAGUUUUUGGCAAGUAUAAUCUGUUUUGUUUGGUGCAUGGUGAUAGCAUAAACUUGUAAGCAAAAGCUUGGUCAAGUGUUUUAAAUAUAACAGAAAAGAAUCCACGAAUAAAACCUUGCAAAUAUACUCAAAAAGCUAAUUGACCAGUGCAAGUAAAAUUGGCAAAAUCUGAUGCACCAAAACUGCUUUUCAUUCAGGCAUUUUGUCAAACAGAUUUGACAGAUUUUUAUUUGCCUUUAAUUCCGAUUCAAUUGCAGCUUGAUUUUGUUUCUUGCUUAGUUAAUCUGUGUUAGAACCAUUCCUAAGCUUCUCUUUGCUGUGCCAUCGUGUUUCUAUACCUUUUCUUGCUUUAAUUCCAAUUUUUGGCACUCUUGCAUACCACCUAUUUGAUAAAAGGUGAGUAGUGCAGUCUGGUUCUGCAGUAGAUAGUGUGCUUCUUAUUCACUGCUUUCACUCACUCGUGACUCAUUUGUGAUAUGUUGGAGGUGCAUUAGUGGAAGGUUGAAUUGUCUCAGAAGUUUCUUCUCUUCGGUAGCCUCCUAGGGAGUGGAGAAGUGGUGGAAAGCACAUGGACACGUGACUGAGGUGCUGCAACAUUUUCUGCUAGAACCUUCCAAGAGUUGCAACUGUUACAUCAGUUUUGCCUACUGCCAAUUAAAGCUUCUUUGCCUGCAACUGUGAGGCUUGCUUGAUUGCAUCAGAAUCAAUAAGUUUUUACUUGAGAGAAGCCCAAAGUUGCAUUGCACAAACACCCUAUAGCUAUGAGCUUUUGAGAGCAGUGUUAAAUUCCUGGUCUGCACCAUAUUCUAAUUGUUGGAGUGAGUUCUAGAAAAGCAAAUCAACACCCCUCCAACUUGCAGCUGUGAGAUUAGUUUGUUGGACAUUUACAACACUAUUAUUGUGAGAAGCCAAAGCUGUUUUGCCAAUUUUGUUAUUGAUUCUGAAUCAUCAAUUGAAUUCACAAGGAUAAAUGAAUUUAGACCUAAAAUUGAACUGAUUUUGUCAAAUACAAUUGAUUUCUAAUUUUUUCGGAGUAUAGAAUUAUGCAGAUUUGGUUGGGAAAGCCGUGUACACCAAAAUUGUGACCUGGUUUGAGCGUUGGAACAGCAGACUACCAACACCAUCCUCUGCAGCAUAUGCAUUUGACAAAAAAAAUCACUGAACUGUGAAAGGCUUUGUUAUUCCCAGCUGCAGCAGUGGGAAACUGGAUCCAUCUUCCACAUCAAUUGCAUUGAAGCCGAGAGAGAGUAGUUGUGCAGUUUUGAAAAGCAUAGGAGACUCCAAAAGUAGUCCAGCACAAGGAAUUUGAACAAAGACCGUGUCAGCAGUGUGAAAUUUUGUAAUUGCUUUGUUCAUUUUUGGAUAGGUUUUUCUUAUGUUAGUUUCUUUUAUUUGUAAAAGGUCAUUUAAAGUCCAAGUCUUUUGGAAGAGUCCUUGGUGCUCUUUCAACUCUUGGCAAUUGUUUGAUUUGUUCUUGUGAUUGAAUUCUUUUUGUCUUUCACGUUUAGUAGAGUCCAAAUAUUAGGAGUCUAGUUUGAUUGUUUGUGAGUUUGUGUACUUUGAUUUUAAAGGUAAUUUUAUUUUAAAGGAGAAUUAGCUAGUAGCUUAAGCAGUCUUCAUGACUCACCUCUCUUACUUGGGAUUUGUCUAAAAGUGAAACUUUUAAUCCUUUAGAAUAAGAAAACUUUUAAAGAUGUCUUGUUAUAGUUCAUAUAGGUCUUCUUCUAGGUCUUCUUCAUAUAGGUUGUCUAGUCUAGAUAAUGUUGAUGAAAUGUAUAAACAAGUUAGGAAUCUUCCAUUCUUUGGUAAAGACAUAGGUGCAUUAACAUACCUAGCUUGGGAAAAAGAAGUGGAUAAAAUAAAUCCUUGGUUUUAUAGAGAGAGUCAAUCUUAUGUUCUUAGCAUUUAUCUCUCUAAGUUAGAAGAACAUGCAAGAGAGUGGUGGGAUGAAAGACAAUACCAUGUUAGGAACGCUAGAAAGUCCACCAUUAGGGAUUGGAGUGAAUUAAAAGCUUGAAUGAGAAGAAAGUUUGUGCCUUCAAGCAUUAAAAGAAACCUAGAAUUAAUUAGAGAUUGUAUUGAAGAUGGAAAAAUGUUUCUUGAGAGUUUAAGUGAUCAUGGGUUUCUUAGGAGAGAGAUAGAAUUUGGGCAUAGACUUAAAGAGAUCAAGGAUAAGAAAAGAAAAAGAGAGAUUAAGAGAAAAGAAGAGGAAGAAAGAAAAGAAGAAGAGAAGAGAAAAAGAGAAGAGAGAAGAGAGGAAUCAAGAAGAGAAGAAGAGAGGAGAGAAGAAGAGAAGAGAGAAAGAGAAGAAAAAGAGAGAAGAGAAAAAUAAGAGAGAAGUAGAGAAGAAGAGAGAAGAAAAGAAGAAGAGAGAAGAGAAAGAGAGAAAAUAGAAAGAGAAAGAAUAGAAAAGGAUAAGAGAAGGAGAGAAAGACAAGAAAGGGAAAAGAAAGAAAAAAAGGAAGUGCUAUUGAUAGUAACUUUGACUCCAACCAUGGAAACCAAUCUUAAAAGGGAAGGUUUUCAAUGUUUUAAAUCUUUUCCAAUCAUUUUUAACUAUUCCAUUUUAAAUUUCUCUUUCAAGUCAAUUGUCAUCCCAUAUUCCAUGAAAACCUUUUCAAAAUAUGGCAAUUUAAAUCUUUUUACCCUUAGGAAUACAAGAAACUCAAGAUAAAAGAAAAGUGACAUGUGAAUUAGGACUUUCAAAUUUCCUUAAAACCAUNAAACAAAGUCCUUAUUCUAAAUUUACUUCCACAAAAAAAAAUUCUUUCUUGGAUUGAUACUAAUUGGAGAUAUAUUUGAUGUUUAUUGCAGAUAUGUUUUUGAUCCAGGAGGAAAGUGACAAACCAAAGUUGUACUUUUUUAUAUCUUCUCGAUUUGAGGACAAAUCGUUUUUCAAGAGGGAGGGUAUGAUGGAAACCCAUUGAGGGCAUUCCAUUCAAAGGANUAUCAACUAAAGCUAAGGCUAAGAAAGGGAAGUGAAGAAGGACUUUUAAAAGCUCUUUCUUGAUUUUCUUUCUCUAAGUCUUAGAAGGAUUCUCUUUAAUAUGUUUAUAUGUGUUUUGUAGGUCUAAUNAAGCUAGGAGAUCAUGGAUCAAAUAGAUGAUUUAGCAUGGACCAAACCAACCCAAGAAGAAGGGUAAAGAAGUCAUUUACACAAAGGGAGGGGGGUGAGUUUAGCAAGCAAGGGGCUGCCUCAAGAAAUACAUAUGUUUCACACCAUCACUGCAUCCGAUACGUGAUUUGGUGGAAACGUUGUUGCACCUCCACGCCUUUGCCUUGCAUCUUCCAGAAACAUGUCACGCAUCUCUCACCGCUGCCACGUGGGAAGAUCUACAUCUCUUCAGCUGUCAUCUCCACCGUUCAUAGCAUAGGAUUGACCUUAUAAAUAUAAAUGUAUCAUAUUAUGAUAUCACUUUUGGACAUUGAGAGAAAUGAUAUGCUGAUGAAUUGUUUCCAGCCUUUUCUCCACCGAAAGUCAAUUAUCCUUGUGCUUAUUUCCAUUUCUCCUCUAGCUUCCUUCCGAGAGAAGGCCUUCUGAGCUAGUUCCAUUCCACCAAAGCACUUCAAUCCACUUCACUUUCCAUUAUACAAACUCCUUCCGCUGCACAUUGUCUUCCAACUUCCAUUUGCAUCUACUGUUACUGUGUCAUCACUUGAAGCUCACGAAUCUGC